rnacentral:rRNA from 1 species
AGUCUGAUGGAGCACGCCGCGUGAGUGAUGAAGGCUUUAGGGUCGUAAAACUCUGUUGUUGGAGAAGAACGUGUGUGAGAGUAACUGCUCAUGCAGUGACGGUAUCCAACCAGAAAGCCACGGCUAACUACGUGCCAGCAGCCGCGGUAAUACGUAGGUGGCAAGCGUUAUCCGGAUUUAUUGGGCGUAAAGCGAGCGCAGGCGGUUUCUUAAGUCUAAUGUGAAAGCCUUCGGCUUAACCGAAGAAGUGCAUUGGAAACUGGGAAACUUGAGUGCAGAAGAGGACAGUGGAACUCCAUGUGUAGCGGUGAAAUGCGUAGAUAUAUGGAAGAACACCAGUGGCGAAGGCGGCUGUCUGGUCUGUAACUGACGCUGAGGCUCGAAAGCAUGGGUAGCGAACAGGAUUAGAUACCCUGGUAGUCCAUGCCGUAAACGAUGAAUGCUAAGUGUUGGAGGGUUUCCGCCCUUCAGUGCUGCAGCUAACGCAUUAAGCAUUCCGCCUGGGGAGUACGACCGCAAGGUUGAAACUCAAAAGAAUUGACGGGGGCCCGCACAAGCGGUGGAGCAUGUGGUUUAAUUCGAAGCUACGCGAAGAACCUUACCAGGUCUUGACAUCUUCUGCUAACCUAAGAGAUUAGGCGUUCCCUUCGGGGACAGAAUGACAGGUGGUGCAUGGUUGUCGUCAGCUCGUGUCGUGAGAUGUUGGGUUAAGUCCCGCAACGAGCGCAACCCCUAUUAUUAGUUGCCAGCAUUAAGUUGGGCACUCUAGUGAGACUGCCGGUGAUAAACCGGAGGAAGGUGGGGACGACGUCAAAUCAUCAUGCCCCUUAUGACCUGGGCUACACACGUGCUACAAUGGACGGUACAACGAGUUGCGAGACCGCGAGGUUAAGCUAAUCUCUUAAAACCGUUCUCAGUUCGGACUGCACG